AACUCAAGUGGCGGACGGGUGAGUAACACGUAAGAAUUUGCCUUUAGGAGGGGGAUAACAACUAGAAAUGGUUGCUAAUACCCCAUAUGCUUUCGAGUGAAACGGAUUUUUCCGCCUAGAGAGAAGCUUGCGGCUGAUUAGCUUGUUGGUGAGGUAAUGGCUCACCAAGGCGACGAUCAGUAUCUGGUUUGAGAGGACGAUCAGACACACUGGAACUGAGACACGGUCCAG
rnacentral:rRNA from 1 species